rnacentral:rRNA from 1 species
AUUGAACGCUGGCGGCAGGCCUAACACAUGCAAGUCGAGCGGAUGAAGGGAGCUUGCUCCUGGAUUCAGCGGCGGACGGGUGGGUAAUGCCUAGGAAUCUGCCUGGUAGUGGGGGAUAACGUCCGGAAACGGGCGCUAAUACCGCAUACGUCCUGAGGGAGAAAGUGGGGGAUCUUCGGACCUCACGCUAUCAGAUGAGCCUAGGCCGGAUUAGCUAGUUGGUGGGGUAAAGGCCUACCAAGGCGACGAUCCGUAACUGGUCUGAGAGGAUGAUCAGUCACACUGGAACUGAGACACGGUCCAGACUCCUACGGGAGGCAGCAGUGGGGAAUAUUGGACAAUGGGCGAAAGCCUGAUCCAGCCAUGCCGCGUGUGUGAAGAAGGUCUUCGGAUUGUAAAGCACUUUAAGUUGGGAGGAAGGGCAGUAAGUUAAUACCUUGCUGUUUUGACGUUACCAACAGAAUAAGCACCGGCUAACUUCGUG